AUGCUGCAGGGAUGAAAGGAAUGGUAUUUAGUAUUCCUCUCCUUAUUCUUCACCCUCUCCUUCAACAGAGCCCACACCAACCUCCUCAUAAUCCUUCUCAAGGGCAGCCAUAUCGGAAGAGCAAA